rnacentral:rRNA from 1 species
GGCGUAAUAGACUAUUCGCUGAGGAAUUCUAGUCUUCGGAUUAGAGCCGGGUUGGGUUAAAGGAAGCUUCUAAUCAGAAUGUCUACAUUUUAAGAUUAGAUCUCAAAUCAGGUAGGACUACCCGCUGAACUUAAGCAUAUCAAUAAGCGGAGGAAAAGAAACUAACAAGGAUUCCCCUAGUAGCGGCGAGCGAAGCGGGAAGAGCUCAAAUUUAUAAUCUGGCACCUUCGGUGUCCGAGUUGUAAUCUCUAGAAAUGUUUUCCGCGUUGGACCGCACACAAGUCUGUUGGAAUACAGCGGCAUAGUGGUGAGACCCCCGUAUAUGGUGCGGACGCCCAGCGCUUUGUGAUACAUUUUCGAAGAGUCGAGUUGUUUGGGAAUGCAGCUCAAAUUGGGUGGUAAAUUCCAUCUAAAGCUAAAUAUUGGCGAGAGACCGAUAGCGAACAAGUACCGUGAGGGAAAGAUGAAAAGCACUUUGGAAAGAGAGUUAACAGUACGUGAAAUUGUUGGAAGGGAAACGCUUGAAGUCAGACUUGCUUGCUGAGCAAUCGGUUUGCAGGCCAGCAUCAGUUUUCCGGGAUGGAUAAUGGUAGAGAGAAGGUAGCAGUUUCGGCUGUGUUAUAGCUCUCUGCUGGAUACAUCUUGGGGGACUGAGGAACGCAGUGUGCCUU